UGAGAAAGACCUUGACGGUGUCUCCUU
rnacentral:piRNA from 1 species